rnacentral:rRNA from 1 species
GAUGAACGCUGGCGGCGUGCUUAACACAUGCAAGUCGAACGGAAAGGCCCAAGCUUGCUUGGGUACUCGAGUGGCGAACGGGUGAGUAACACGUGGGUGAUCUGCCCUGCACUUCGGGAUAAGCCUGGGAAACUGGGUCUAAUACCGGAUAGGACGAUGGUUUGGAUGCCAUUGUGGAAAGUUUUUGCGGUGUGGGAUGAGCUCGCGGCCUAUCAGCUUGUUGGUGGGGUAAUGGCCUACCAAGGCGUCGACGGGUAGCCGGCCUGAGAGGGUGUACGGCCACAUUGGGACUGAGAUACGGGCCAGACUCCUACGGGAGGCAGCAGUGGGGAAUAUUGCACAAUGGGCGCAAGCCUGAUGCAGCGACGCCGCGUGGGGGAUGACGGCCUUCGGGGUGUAAACUCCUUUCGCUAGGGACGAAGCGUUUUUGUGACGGUACCUGGAGAAGAAGCACCGGCUAACUACGUG